AGACUUUGUCGAUUGCUGCAAUAUUUUAUAUUGUUGAGGAAAAUCCACACUAGCACUUUCUGAGACGAAAGUAGUGUUCGUGCUGAGUCUAAUAAAUUCAGGCAGCUUUUUUAAAGUUGACAAAUAGUGGCACAGAAACCAGGUCUGCUUUUUAUAAGUAAGAGUGAAAAGGCUAAACUUCGCGAGCUAGAAAUCUAAAUUAUGGUAAGAGAGCCUGACAAAGGGAAAUGAACUGGAGUUGGGAAGGCAACCCUGCAUGCCUUAGAUAAAUAAUCGACGCCCUGCAAAGGGAACAAAAAGUGGUUUAUAAAG
rnacentral:RNase_P_RNA from 1 species